rnacentral:tRNA from 1 species
GCUGGCGUAACUCAGUCCGGCCAGAGUGCCUCUCUUACAAAGAGGAAGCCGGUGGUUCGAAUCCAUCCGCCAGCA